rnacentral:rRNA from 1 species
CGAUGUCGGCUCAUCGCAUCCUGGGGCUGUAGUCGGUCCCAAGGGUUGGGCUGUUCGCCCAUUAAAGCGGUACGCGAGCUGGGUUCAGAACGUCGUGAGACAGUUCGGUCCCUAUCCGUCGUGGGCGUAGGAAAUUUGAGAGGAGCUGUCCUUAGUACGAGAGGACCGGGAUGGACAUACCUCUGGUGUACCAGUUGUCGUGCCAACGGCAUAGCUGGGUAGCUAUGUGUGGACGGGAUAAGUGCUGAAAGCAUCUAAGCAUGAAGCCCCCCUCAAGAUGAGAUUUCCCAACUUCGGUUAUAAGAUCCCUCAAAGAUGAUGAGGUUAAUAGGUUCGAGGUGGAAGCAUGGUGACAUGUGGAGCUGACGAAUACUAAUCGAUCGAAGACUUAAUCAAAA